ensembl:lncRNA
CUGGCAUAACGCAUCCAAAAAAACCAAGGGUAGAAGUUGUUUUCCUGUAACUUCUGCUUCAGGAAAUGGCUGGCUACCUUCCGAAGAGGGAGAGAAAAUUACUUUCAGAAUAAAAGACAAAUUAACAUCUUGAUGGGAGUUGAAUCGAAUUGUUGCCAGACGUAGAUGUGAUUGUCCCUGACGUGGUUCGCACGGCACCUGGCACACAGUAGGAGCUUGGUGAAGCCAGGCCAGCCUCUGGGAAGUGCAGAGCCAACUCGCAGCCCAGUGUGCUGGAGGCAGAAGGAGCAGGAAAGGCUGUGGGCUUCCAGAAGUUCCCUUCGAUGCACCCCUUCCAACAACCAGAGAUUCUCUCGCUGGCAGCCCACCCUCUCCCACAGACCCCCAGCCAAAUCCCCAAGGCCUCAGUGUCACCCGAGUUGCAGGAUGGCAGAAGCCAAGGACUCUGCCAUACCAUCUUUUUUGGCUUCCAGUUUCUCUGCUGCCAAGAAACGUGAAUUGGAGAUUGUAAAAUGAAGAUGUGCUGAUGUGCCACUCCCAACAAUGACAGUGGACCUGCCGUCUUGCUCCCAGCUCCCCGUCUAUACUUCCAUCUUCUCUGUUGGAAGUGUAUUUCAGAAUCUGUGCACAGCUCCUUUAAGAAUGAGAAGAAGACAGCAGAGGAGCAAGUGUGGCCAAAGGGCUGUUAGCUGGACCAUCUCCUUCUGCGGCAUCUGGUCUGAGCUCCCCUCCGCCUGUGGGACCCACCUCUCACUCUCUGAGGAUUCCCUGAAGUCAGACCCACCUUUAGGUUCUGCCCUUUUCCCUGAGCUUGUCCUUGGUCUUUGCUCUGUUGACUUGCGCCUCUUUGACCGCAGACACGUGCAGGCCUCUGCCCUGGCCCACCUCUCCUGCAGUCCUGAUCUGGACAACUGUUGGCUCCACUCUGUCCCCUGCUUCUGUCUGAGCCAGUGCUUGUUAACAGGUCUUUCGUGUGGCUCCUUCUUUCAUAUUUUAUGGCACUCCUUUCCUGAACUUGGCACCAAGUCCCUCUGGAACUGUCCUGGGAGAUAAUACAAUGUCACUGCUAAGGGCAACAACCGAUUGUCCCUCUUCCUCAAUGAUCUGCCAGUGUCCGUGAGCUGAACUCUCUCUCCGCUGGGAGAAGUCAAUGGAGGUCACUGCCCGAGAGAUUGAGGGUCAGUCUUUGUCUGCCUUCUUGACAGCUCCAAAAGUCUCAUGUUUCUGAUGAGAUCUGCUGAAGCUUUAUGGAGAGAAAAACCCAAGUGGUUCAAGCCGGCGUGCCUGGAUUCCCCUGGAAACAGCAGGAAGGCCCUUUCUGGGGGCUAUUUGUUAAAAUCGGUUACAGUGCAUUCCAGGAGAGAUGUUCCAAUGGCAGCCUUGCCGGAAUAGGAGCGAGAACAUGGAACGUGGAGUCAGUCAACCCAAGUUUCAAUGGGCAGAAGCAGCUCCUCACUUUCCAAACGAACAACCUUGUGCAAGUCAUCAAAACUCCCCGAGCCUUCGCUUCAUCAUCUAUAAAAUGAGGAUGAAAAGAAGACCUUUCUGACGGUGCUGGUUUGAAGAUCAAAUAAAAUAAUGAAUGUGAAAGU